CAGCUGCAAGCCAGAAUGACCUUCCCGUCGAGCCUUGUCACGCAGGCUUAUCACAAUUUAAAUAGGCAUUUGUGUUCACAGAAGUUUAGCAUGCCUGACUACACAAGGAAUUCUAUUCAGCCCAUAUGAUGUUCUACAGAACGCAUUACAUCUAAUAGCCACUAGAGAGGAUUGGUUCAAUUGGAGUAUUGAUGACUCAAACGAGCUGCGAACAUGCCGCCGGCCUGUAAACACCUCAUUUAGAAGCUUAGUCUUUGUCCUUCUGAGAGGAGCAGUUGUAUUCAGAAGCAGUUUGUUGACCUAGAUUGAGCUAAUGGUGUUUAGGACAUGCUAAUUAUUCAUAUUAUUCUAUAACUCUGGACUUCCAGGCUGAGCUGGGCUUGCUAGCAGAGGCAACUGCCCAACCUAAAUGGCUAUUCACCAGCAACAACAGCCUUUGGGACAAAUCAGCUGAGCUGCAUUUAUACUGCCAUACCCUACAACAUUUCACAGAUAGAAACAGGGAUACAUGUUUGCUAGAACAAGAUAUGUCUUAAAAAAGAGGAAAUUGAGGAAGUGACUGAAUAUGUAUAUCUUGGACAACAAGUACAGUUGAAUAAAUUGGCAAAUGGCAAAUAGGCAAGAGGACGCAAGGUGGUUUGGAUAGCUUUUAAUCGAAACUGGACAGUGCUAACAGAUGAUAAGUUGCCAAUGAAGGUCAGAGCAGAUAUCUUCAACACUACAGUUCUACCGGCAAUGUUAUAUGCAUCUUAAACAUGGGCAACAACAAAGUUAGAGGAAGAAAAACUGGCGGCAACUCAGAGAGCAAUGGAAAGAAGGAUGUGUGGCGUGACAACAAGAGAUAAAGUCAGCAACAAAGAGCUGCAUCAAAAAACUGGGAUAUGCGACAUGGUCAAUGAGCUCUAUGAGGCAAAAAGAAGAUGGGCAGGGCAUAUAGCACAAACACAAGAUAACUGAUGGAUAUGAUGACCAGCCAACUGGAUACCAAGAGACCACAAGCAGCCUUCGAGCAGACUUUGUACUCAAUGGGAUGAACCAAUGGUUAAGCUAUUCGGCCAGAAAUGGAAAUGAAAACCACAGGAUCAUAUAUUUUGGCAAAUGGUAGAUUUGUGUGAAGCCCGAAGGAGUGGAUUGAAGAUAAUAAAAAAUACCCUAAAAAGAUUAAAAAA